UCUAAUGUAGCCCCAGAAAUAAAAUUCUAGGGGCGUCAAGUCGGGUGAUCUUGGGGGCCAUUCUUGAACUCAGCCCAUACCAAUCCACCUAUUCGGGAAUCUAUUGUUUAAAUAUUGUGUAACGGCUCGAGAUCUUUGAGCUGGUGCUCCAUCUUAUUGGAAUCACAUUCGUCUGAGUAAAUCAUUGUCGACAUGUCUCAAGAGGUUGGGCAGGUCAUCUUGAAGAAAUCUUAGAUAGAUUGCCGCAUUGAGAUUUUCUUCAAAAAAAUAUGAACCAACAAUAACAUCUCCCAGGAUGCCUGCCCAAACAUUAAUGGACCACUGCCGUUGGAACUCUUGGCUUCUCUGCCAAUGUGGCUUAGCAUCUGAAUAAUAAUGGCAGUUAUGUCUAUUAACGCCUCCUCUAUUACAAACGUGGCUUCAUCAGAAAAAAGCGUUUCAGCAAUGAACCGGGGAUUUUGUUGGAUGGUAUGGGAAUAAGUUUCCGCCCUCUUGAAAAAGGUAUCACUGAUGAUACUAUCUUUGUGUUCGCUCAAGUACUAUACUUGUGAUUUGAAGGUGAGGUCUCGAUUGCAGUAGUUAACAUUCGUUUCAAGGGUAAACAUCAUUUUUUAUCUGGCGUCAAAAAUGUCAACGUUCGUCCCGAAAAAGCAGCAUUUGCGGGAAGUUAUGCUUCAUUAUUAUAUUUCGAAGAAAAGUGCCGCUGAAACGUGUCGUAUAUUGAGCAAUAUUUACGGUGAUCACGCUCCGUCUAAUACAACUUGUAAAGAGUGGUUUCGACGAUUCCAAAGUGGCGAUUUUGACGUGAGUGAUAAAGAACGCGAAGGGGCACCGAAAAAAUUCGAAGAUGCACAACUGCAAGAAUUAUUGGAUGAAGAUGCAUGUCGAACCCUAGAUGAUUUGUCCAAAGAGUUGGAUGUUGACAGAUCGGCCGGAAUGGGACGGUAGACAUGAUAAACUCAUUUCGCUGCAUGACAACGCUAGGUCACACGUUGCUCAAUCUGUCAAAAAAUAUUUGGAAGGAGUGAAUUGGGAAAUCUUGCCCCACCCGCCGUAUUCCCCAGACAUUGCACCUUCGGAUUACCAUCUAUUCCGAUCUAUGCAGUCAGCCCUUACUGGAGAGCGGUUCACUUCUUACGAAAGUAUCGAAAAAUGGCUCAAUGAAUGGAUCGAGUCGAAAGAACCUGGUUUUUUUCUCUGAGGAAUCCGUAUACUGCCUGAAAGAUGGGGAAAAGUUGUCGCUUCCAAUGGUGCAUACUUCGCAUAAUAUCAUUAUGUAAUAUUUCAUUGUUUAAAUAAAUAUUAACUUUGUUUAAAAAAGGACGGAAACUUAUUCCCAUACCUACUUUCCUAUCAGGAUAGCGUCUGUCUGGAAAUCUUUCAGCAUAAAGCUUUCUGCUGCCGAGUAAUUAUUCCUGGCCUCAUCCAAAAUGUGAAUCAUGUCCACAAUUUUAUUUGGUGGAUACGCAGCCAUAAUUAUAAAGAAAAAGAAAGCGCCAAAAUACCAAAAAUUCCUGUCUUAUCAAAAAAAAAUCAAUGGAUAAUAAUAUGCGUCUGUCUGAGACUUCGCCAAAAUACCAAAAGUUGCCCAAUUCAUUGAUUAUCAGGCAAUACUGGAUCUCGCCUUGACUGGCUGGAUCAUGCUCGGAUCUUGCCUUGACUGGCUGGAUCAUGCUCGGAUCUUGUCUUGACUGGCUGAAUCAUUGUUUUGGAAAGCUCUCGAGGUCAGCUAUAAGAAUGUGUAAUAAAAAAUAAGGGGUGCCAUUUAAAAAAAUUGAGGUAACCUUCACAUGACUUUCAAAUGACUUUUCAAGGUCAAAUCAAUGGUACCAUCUUAUGGCCCCCUGGAAACAUACAAAACAUGUCUGAACCGUCUCUAAAAUAAAAAA